ACAUCCACUCCGGCCUGCUGUCACUGCCCCCUCCCUCACUCCCGGCUCAUGCAUCUCAUUUCAUCAGCUGAUGCUGUCCUCUGCCGUCUUUUGCUCUUUCUCUCUCAAUCGGGCCAGCUGUCCAUCAACUGUCCUUCACUGCGGGCUCUUUUUUUUUUCUGCCUGUUCUCCAACACUUUUCCCCGUUGUUUCCCCCGCAUCUUCCUCUCUAGAUCCGGGGAGCGAUAUGAAGCGGCACCAUGGGUUUUAUGGAAUUCUACCUGGAGAUUGACCCCGUCACCCUUAACCUCAUCAUCCUGGUGGCCAGCUACGUCAUCCUUCUCCUGGUGUUCCUUAUCUCCUGCAUCCUGUACGACUGCCGCGGCAAAGACCCCACCAAGGAGUACGCCCCCGACAACACGCCGGCGCCACAGAGCCAGUCGCCCAUACGCCUUGUAGUCAUGCAGAAUUCGCCGACCUCGGGCCGCUGUGAGGCCAACAGCACGUCGGGACACGUGGAGACGCCGACGCCGGACCUGAGCCGGGACAGAGCAGAGAGAGAGAGGGAGAAGAGGAGUACUCUGGUCUGAGAGAUGAAGAGGGGAGUGCUGAGGGAGGAGACGACCAUUAAGUGCAGUUGUAUCGCUUCGUACUGCGUUUUUAUUCUUGAAGAGUUAGUUUUUGAUUUUCAAAGUUCCUGGAAGUUGCUGCUGACCGGCCUAGGAGUUCACAGAUGGGUCUUCACGUCUCCUUCAAAUCCCAGAAUUCCCUUGCCAGUAGAUGCCAGCAAAGGAAACCCACUUCCAUCUGGGAUCCAUCCUCCAACCACAUCACCAAGACUUCUGGCUGCUCCAGCACCAGGCACCCCAGACUUCAGCUUGCUUUCAUGAGGACCGCCAGAGAUCUGAAAUGGCAACAAUGUCACCAUCAUUAUUGUUUUCCUCAUCAUAGUUCCUGUCAGGUGUCAUUCUGAAUCAGGAUGUGCUCCAGCUGGAACUGCUGAAUGGUGUCCUGAAGUGAGUCUGACUGUAGAUGACUUUGGCAUGACUGCAUCAGCCAGUGACAGACAGGCUGGCAUCAUGAACAUCUGCUAACAGGUGAUAGACAGGCAUCAUACUAGUGCAGCUUUACGUUGAGGACAUGAUGGCGUGUUAAGACCUUGGCCAUAUGAGCUGAAGAUUCCAGGGAUCUGAAUAAAAACAAUCAAACCAAAUGGUGAAUCUUUCAGAAAACUUCAUACCAAGAAGGUGCAGCUACUGUGAUGUAAAUAUCACAGGUUUUGCUUUGCUUCUGUGGACACAAACGGCUGCAGACUUGAACAUGCAUUGUCAAAUAUUUUAACAGAACAUAUCAACACAUUGACAUGGUAGAAUGAAUAUAAAACACAAAUAAGUCCUCUAAUGAGAAUUUAAAUGCAGAGAAAAAUGUUGCUGAGUUUGCGGUUGGCCCUCGGUCUUGAAGUUGUGUAAAAAAUAACUCUAGCUUUAGAAAGGGGUUUAGGAACAACUCUUACGAGUAGGAUUCUCAAAUUAGUUAGUUUCACUUAUAAAGUACAUCAAAGCAACAUAUGUGCAACCAGGCUUUUACUAUAGUAUACAUGGCCAUAAAACACUUUUAGUUUGGUGGAACUUCCAGUUCUGUCAAGACCUAAGAUAUCAAUGAGUGUCAGCUCUAACACUGGACUUUUACUGUGAGCUAAAAAAAGUGUACAAAUACCAGCUGGUUUGUGUUUACAUUGGUGACCCAAAGCCGUACAGCUACUGGGACAUAAAGUACAUUAAUAAUAUUAAUAAUGCCAUUAUUAGGAAGACCAGUUUCUCCCCCAAUGUCUUUAGAUGGAUGCUGCUGCUUUGACAAAAGUUGUUAAAGGUCAACAAAACAUAUAAGGAAGUCACUUCAAGGAGCAUCCGUCCUUCAGUUGAAUACGUCUGCGCAAUGCAUUCACAUGAGAGACACCUUUGAGGACCCGUGUGGUCCCUUUCUAGAACCCCGAUGCAGUAGUGCUUCUGGAAUGAUCCAAAACAAGCUACGUUAAAGUCACAUUUACAGAUCAUAAACCCCCAGACAGAGGAGGGGUGUUUUUACAGUAUCUCUGAUAGGAGCCACAGGGCUGGGGACAUACACAAACCUUCAGCAGUGACUUUGUGGAGGUUUAAUAUUAUACUGGAUCCUGAGGGGUACUUAAUGCCAGCAGGUGGUUUGGGGAAACAGCAUUGCUUGGUUGCUAGGAAUUUGAAGCAACGAUGACCGUAUUAGUCCUAUGCAUUAGCUACAACCUAAUCACAUCCUCAUGGCACUGGCAGUGCUCCGAGUUAUUGCUAUGAUCUAGUGCUACAUGCAUCAUUUCCUGCAACUGCUCACACUUCAGCUGAGCCCCGUCCUCACCAAACAGCAAUAGCUGCAAGCAACAGUUUACAGUCUCCAGGCACCAACAAACACCACACGUUGUGGAAUGCAUAGCAUUAUUUUCCCAAGCAACGACGAGUUGAUGGAAAGACCCAGCUCAGACAUGGUGCCCUAGCAUAUGUCAUGGGAGGGAGCAUCACUUACUGCACCCAGAUGCAGUGUCAGAGAGCUGUGACAGUUGUGAUAAUUGAAGGGAUCAAUUAGGUGGAGAAGAGAGUUUCGCAAUAAAGCAGGUGGGACCUACGUAUAUCUGGGUAUCACUCAGAGUCUAGAAUUAUCAUGACUGGCUUUUUAUGUACCAGUCCUGCAGGAUAGGUGGAGAAGAUUGUUGGGGUUGCGGGGGGCUAUUGAACCCUAGAUGUGCUUUGAGACAACCACAAGUCAGGAAAAGCACCAUAUAAAAACUCUCAAGGUCUUUUAUUAUGUUGCAUCUUAUCAACUUCAACUUGAUCCACCUACAUUUUCUGCCACUGUUCUGAUCAGAGAGCCCGGUCCCGCCUCCCUCUCCCUCUGAUGAAUGAUCCAACCUAAAGUCUUUAGAGAACUCGUGCCACAGACGCUGAUACUGGGACAAAUCCUCUUACAUAAAAAAAACACAGAGCCAACGAGCAAGCCACCAAUGACUGAGUCCCAUCAAUAACAUGAACUGCACAAACACACACACACACACACUUCAUAUUUCAUGUUUGGGGAUUAUACAGCGACCAGCACAGAGUAUUAGGAGCUUGGGCUGUGUAUUUGUGUUCCCUCUUUGCUGUGCUUUUGUGUGUGUGCGUGUGUGUGUGUGCGUGUCUGUGUGUGUGUGUGUGUGUGUUUACAUAAGCUUCAGGUUGUCAGAGAUGUUGUUUUCAGACCUGAACUAGAGAACGGCGUCAUAUCUACAGACUCUUGAGAGUCAACUGAAUGAUGCUGGAAAUUCAUCUUUCAGUUGGAAACCCGCUCUGUGGAGGGAUCGGCCCCACUGCCGCAAGCUGCUGCAGAUUAAGCCAGGAUAGAAGACAUUGAGGAGAAAGACGUUGGAAAACAGAUAAAGGACAAACAACUAUGUUUAGGUGACAGACCAGGUCCUGAAAACACAAAUCUUCUUUUCAUCUCUAAAAAAAAAAGUUUACAGAUUUCUGUCAAUUUGUGAAAGAAGAUAUAGUUUUAUGAGGCCCACCUGUAAAGGGGGUUUGACCUCAAUGUCUAAAAGACUCAUUCUUCUUCAGGUUUCUCCUGCUUUAUUGUCUUUUGAGUCCCUUUUUGAAGCGCAUUUGGACAAAAAAAAACAACAUGCUUCUGUUGAUCUGAGUUGAAAUGACACAGCUCAACAGCACAGUGUAAAGACUCUGGGCAACUAAUAUCUAAGUUAAAUGUAAAACAAAC